rnacentral:rRNA from 1 species
UACAGGGGGGUGCAAACGUUGCUCGGAAUUAUUGGGCGUAAAGCGCGCGUAGGCGGCCACUUAAGUCGGAUGUGAAAGCCCCGGGCUCAACCUGGGAAUUGCAUUCGAGACUGCAUAGCUAGGAUGCGGAAGAGGGAAGUGGAAUUUCCGGUGUAGCGGUGAAAUGCGUAGAUAUCGGAAGGAACAUCAGUGGCGAAAGCGACUUCCUGGUCCAGCAUCGACGUCAGGCACGAAAGCGUGGGGAGCAAACAGG